CUAAGUUUGUAUUCAGAAAUCGUCGAGUGUAUUUUUGUUAAUACUAGUUUUUGUGUUAACUUACUAUAAUUUUCUGUUUUUAUUUUGAUUUAAAAUCAGGAAACAGAAAAAAUAGAUGAAGAUAUUUAUAUAAUUAUCCAUCAAUAUGGAUGAUUGGCGUGAUUCUCAAAGAAAUAAGGAAGCAGCAGAUGCAAAUAUUAUAAGAAAUGGUUCUGGUGCUAUCCCGAGGAGACCAGGACAGAGAUUUAUUCCUGAAAAACCAAAUACAAGAACUGAUGCUUUUCGAAAGUGGAGGAAUGAGAAA